rnacentral:tRNA from 1 species
UGCAUCGGCCGGGAAUCGAACCCGGGCAGCACGCGUAGGGCGAGCAUUCUACCACUGAACCACCGAUGG